AAUCCACCCACCUCAGCCUCCCAAAGUGCUGGGAUUACAGGUGUGAGUCACCUCGCCCAGCUGGAAUGGACAUUUUUAAGCUGCUGGCGGUGCGUGUGUUUGCCCGGAAGGGUGAUCCAGGGCUUCAUCAGGCAAAGCAUUGGGGAUGGAAGUUCCGGCGACUCUCAUGGCCUCGCCUGGGGAUGGAGACUCAAGAAGUUAAAGAAAAUUUACCCAAGGUCACAGAGCUAGAAAGUGGCAGGAGUCCGGCUUCAAAAUUCAGAUGACUACACACCCCAGUUCCCUCUCAGCCAGGCCACCUUCCUUAGAGAACAACCAAACCCACACCAAAAGGUGAACACAAGCUGAAUCACCAGGACUCAUCAGCAGCGAGGCUUCCUUGGUCCUUUCCCUAGAAAUUCAGGCUCCUGUACUGAAAAAAAUGAAGCAGCUGGAAGCAGUCUUGAGCCCAUAAAUCUGUACCCACUGCAGGGGUCCCGAACUUUUUGUGGGGGGCACACCCCUUUGAAAAUCUAAUAAAAUGAUCAACCCUCUCUUGGGGAAAAAAAGCAGACAUCCAAAUUUUGGCUGACAAUU
rnacentral:lncRNA from 1 species